UACCAGCACCCCGAGUGGUCGGGACGAUUAUUGGGCCGUAAAGCAUCCGUAGCCGGUUCUACAAGUCUUCCGUUUAAAUCCACCUGCUUAACAGAUGGGCUGCGGAGGAUACUAUAGAAGCUAGGAGGCGGGAGAGGCAAGCGGUACUUAGUGGGUAGGGGUAAAAUCCGUUGAUCCAUUGAAGACCACCAGUGGCGAAGGCGGCUUGCCAGAACGCACUCGACGGUGAGGGAUGAAAGCUGGGGGGAGCAAACCGG
rnacentral:rRNA from 1 species